GACGAACGCUGGCGGCGUGCCUAAUACAUGCCAGUAGAACGCUGAAGGAAGGAGCUUGCUCUUUCUGGAUGAGUUGCGAACGGGUGAGUAACGCGUAGGUAACCUGCCUGGUAGCGGGGGAUAACUAUUGGAAACGAUAGCUAAUACCGCAUAAAAUUGAUUAUUGCAUGAUAGUCAAUUAAAAGGUGCAACUGCACCACUACCAGAUGGACCUGCGUUGUAUUAGCUAGUUGGUGGGGUAACGGCUCACCAAGGCGACGAUACAUAGCCGACCUGAGAGGGUGAUCGGCCACACUGGGACUGAGACACGGCCCAGACUCCUACGGGAGGCAGCAGUAGGGAAUCUUCGGCAAUGGACGGAAGUCUGACCGAGCAACGCCGCGUGAGUGAAGAAGGGUUUCGGAUCGUAAAGCUCUGUUGUAAGAGAAGAACGAGUGUGAGAGUGGAAAGUUCACACUGUGACGGUAUCUUACCAGAAAGGGACGGCUAACUACGUG
rnacentral:rRNA from 1 species